UACGAAGGGGGCUAGCGUUGUUCGGAAUUACUGGGCGUAAAGCGCACGUAGGCGGACUAUUAAGUCAGGGGUGAAAUCCCGGGGCUCAACCCCGGAACUGCCUUUGAUACUGGUAGUCUCGAGUCCGGAAGAGGUGAGUGGAAUUCCGAGUGUAGAGGUGAAAUUCGUAGAUAUUCGGAAAGAACACCAGUGGCGAAGGCGACUCGCUGGACAAGUAUUGACGCUGAGGAGCGAAAGCGUGGGGAGCAAACAGG
rnacentral:rRNA from 1 species